AGGUUACGUACUAAAAUGUAAAACAGUCAUGGUACAAAUUUUAACUCGAUAGAAUUUCUAGAGGUCAACAAUGUAUUUUCAGAAGAGUGCUUCCACUGCACGCGGCUGUAGAACGGCAAAAAGUUGCAAUCAGAGUUAUAUGAAUGGAAUUGUAUAUAGCUUCGAUUGUCAACUGUCACCAAUAAAGUUGCAACCCUUGAACGUGCGCAUCUCUGUUGCGAUGUUUUAACCAUAAACUGCCUAAAGCAAACAAGACAAAACUCGCAACAAUGUUCCUACUGUUGGCAAAUACAUUUGGAAGCCGGCCAUGCGGAUACGCAGUUCAAAUAGAAAUUAAUUAUGCGAAAAACUUUUCAACUACAAAGCUUUUACAAAAGAGGGCGCUUGUUGGAAAAGGACUUGCCAUUUUUGGCAGAAUAAAGAUUUGAAGCAGUAAGAUAUGAAAGGAGGCAAAUGGUACUCAGCUAACACCAAUGAAGAAGAAUGACUCUCUAUCAUCAAAUUAUAUUAUCAAUACGUUGACAGUGUACAUUUUGUGAAUAAUUGUAUAUGUAUCAUCGAACAUUCGAUUCUCUUUAUCCGCGUGUAUAAAAUGAGAAUGAUAUCGAAUCAGCGUAACAUCGACAGGAAGAAUGAGACAUCAGAAAUCUGAAAGAACAAUCGACGCAACGACGUGAAAUUUGUAUCCAUGGAUGAAGGCACUUUUUCAUGCAGCUCGCACUUUUUAUCACGUGCGAUCGCGCGAUCGAUCUGUAUAACGCUAUAUCCCGUACAGCGGCAGCCACAUCCAUCGCUCGACCGUCGACCCAUAAAUUUCAAACGUCCUCUCUGUUUCUCAGUAUCGCGAUAAAACCGCUUAAAUGAAACUCGACCGGUGCAAGGGUGUGCGGGCGAGUACAUAAUGAACGUUACGUUGGCUACUCGUUUCCAUACUUUUGUCCCCUGGGCGAGAUUAAUUCUGGCACCCCGUUACUUUUUAGCAAAAUUAAAAACUUCAAAUGAAAAAUCAUAUAGGAAGCUGUCAGAACUAUCACAGAGUACUUCUCAUGAUUUUUAAAUUAAUGUAAUCUCAAUUUAAAGUUUCGGCGAAAAGAGGGAAUGUGUUCCUGGUACAAAAUGGCGGACGGUGACCGAUUUUGGUACUCCAUGAUUUCAUGACAUAAAAGUUACAAAAUGGUACUUGUGGUAUAUCAAAUUAAAGGUUAGAAUUUGAUGAAAAGGACUACGUGAACGUUCCAUCGAUAUUUUUCAUGUUAAAUGGUUCUCGAACGAGAAACGACCCAGUGGGGAAUACGCAAUUUCCAAUUGCUUCUAUUUCGAAAUGUUUGACGUUCAUUUAUUAUCCCAUUGAGAAUUUACAUUUUUCGAAUAUAUAAUCUUUCUGAUCACGUUGUAUAAAAGAACCUUAAAUAUUACUUUGUUAAUAGAGCUGUGAAUUGCUUUCGAAGAGCGAAUUUGUAUUAAAAACACCGAUGAAACGUUUAUACAGUCAUUCCCAUCAAACCUUAAGCUUUAAAUUGAUACAUUAUUAAACUUCCAAUUGAUACUUUUAUGUGAUGAAAUCCUGUCACUCCAAGUGUCCCCCAAACACGUACCACUCAAUUCCAUUCGAGUUUGAAACUCAAUUCCUCUGAAAUUUUUACUAAAAUGAAUGUAACUUAUCCUAAGUAACUACAGAACAAAAAAGAAACAAAAAAGAAAGUCGUAAAAGGGUAUCGUUGAUCAAGGAAAUCGAGGUUUGAUGAAUCUUUCACGAAUCACAUUCGAGUUUCGUUCAAACUGUUUUAUCGCACAAUGCUCGAGAAACAAAUUGCACAUUACCUGCUUAUUAUAAUCAAUACGAGAAUAUUUACAAGGUAGCUUGACAAAAAUACCUGCUGCAUUUUAUGCUAUGCUAUUACACAACUUUUCACUUCUUUUCUUUUACGCUCGUUAUUCCAAUCAUAUCACGAACUUUUCUCCCUCCGUGCGAAAGGGCAACACU